CACUCGGGUGCCCCUGGUGUGGGUUAUUUUAAAGCACUGAAAGAAAAAGUCACAGAGACAGAUUUUCAUUUCUUGCUGGCACUUCCUUGAGAAAUCGCAGAAAUGAGAGGCCUUCCUCUUAAGGCAUUUCAGAUCCAGACGGGCUCUUUGAAACAUUGACCUUUCACAGGCCUGUAGUUAGUGCUGUGCUAGAAAAAAGUUUAUUAACUGCCUCUCUGGGACAAAACGAAACAGAAAAACAUUACCCUCAGAUUUGUAGCGUUUGCUGAUUUCAGGGAUGUAAAUACUCCCCGCGGCGAAUUUUAAGCUGCGAUCCAGGAUCCACGGCAGAGGGGAAUCGGAAGAGGCGCGUUCAACUGACUCUCCCUACCAAGUGUGACUGGUUUCCAGCCUGAGUUCGCUGACUUCAGCACACAGUGCAGCCUGUCUCCUCCAAGUCAUGCUUUCUAGAAGGCCAUCUUUUCAGCACUUUGUCCUUGACUGAACAUUUGGGCGGAACGAAAACUUUCAAGUUAAGGAUUUCUCAAGGGCUAGCUUGGCUCAAGGUAGUAGUUUCCAUUUUGUUGUGACUUUGUAUCCAUCGGCUCUCGUGGAAUGCACAGGAAUGCGACAUUCAGGCAGCAGAAGGCCAACUUGAAAUUCCCAGGACAAAUGUGAUCCCCCAAAGAUGUCUAGAACAAAAUAAACAAAUGCGGGAAAAGUGGACGAAAUAAAGGGCUCCUGCAGAAAGCCUGAUGUGGGGCUCUAUCUCACGACCCUUGAAAUCAUGACCUGAGUCGAAAUCAAGAGUCAGACACUUAACCAACUGAGCCACCAAGGUGCCCCAAGAACAGACUUUUGAUUGGAGAAAACCAGGCAGGAGAUCAUGAACAUAGAAAACAGCAUCAGCAAAGAAAGAGCUGGAGAUAUGAAAGAUUGUCUUUCUCUGCUCCUGGCAGAAGAUGUAGUCAUCCCACCACACUGGAGAUUGUUUUGGGUCUUGCCAAAGAUGAAACUUUAAUAUUUCAAGGACAUCCCAGAUGAGUUGCUGGUGAGGUUACAGAAGCUUCCAUUUGUGCCACCACGGCGACACUCUGCAACACUGAUUUCCUGCUGAAGUCCGGGAAGGGCUCACUGACAUGCAAAGUCCUGAGAAGCGGAAGAAAGAGUGUGAUCAUCACCGCGUGAGCAUGCGUGCCAUCUGGAUGGGACCAGGCUUCUCCGCAGACCAGUCGGCUCAGUCACCCCUUCGACGCGGAUCCAGACCUGACAGAUUUCUAAUACAAACAGCCACCUGGAAGCAAAACUCUGCCCAAACCCAGCUGAGCUUUCAUGCUGUGGUUUUUGUUUUUUGUUUUUUCUCUUCUAUGUCCAAGCCCAUCGGCUCUUGCCUCUGAUGUGAGCUUCUGAGUUCCCCGACUUGGGAUCCGCACCGUAGAACUGCAACGAUGGCUCAGAAGAUGUCCCAAAACCCGCACGCGGCCGUGGGAGGCCUUCUCAUCUUUCCCGGGUCCUUCGCUGAUCACUACUUUUCCAUUUCCUUUUCCGAACAAAACAAACCAGAUUUAUGUCCAAGCGUUUUCUCCCAUUCAUUCUCCAAUCUUAGAAUUUAAACUCUCAAGUAUAUUUGCCUUUAAAUGACGUGCUGGGGUCUUUUGGUAUUUGAAAAAGCUUUUGAGAUUUUCAAAUGAACUUCUCAAAGGUUCUCAGACUGAAGCUUUGGCAAGAGUGGGUUUCUUCUGAGCAAUGGGAAGCCCAGAUUCAAUUUAGAAUGACCUGGUCAUCAAUCCAGGAUGAACUGGAACCCUCAAGAACCUCCAGUUGUGCCCUGGUUCCCCAGUCUCAUAUCCAAGGCCUUUGCUGAUGGCUCUCUGCCUACUUUGUCAAGUUCAUCUUUCCUAUCACCAGCCUGCCCACGCCCCCUGCACAGAUUCACCACCACCAACCCCCCCCUCCCACUGCCCCCCUUUCCCCUUAUCUUUGUCUUGUCUCUUGCUUUCUCCUGGCCUGGAACAUGUUCCCUCCACUCUUUAUCAGCUACAUUUUCAAACAUUCAGGGGCUACAUUCAAUAUAACUCCAUUGCAAAACUUCUCUUUGUAACCUGUGGGUGAUUUAGGGAAAGUUGCAAACAUUAGCCCAAGAAAAACCUGAUUUGAUGUUUUAUACCAGCCUUCAAAAGCCAAGUAACCAAGGCACAUGUAUGGUAGGUCUAUGUUCAGUAAGAUAAAGCUUAUGAUUUAUUUGUAUGAGUUCCGUGUAAACAAAGUCAUGUUUAGGAAGCUCUUGGGAUGCAGUCGAUGUCUCCAUAGCUCUAGAAAUUAGGGAGACUUACUUAUGCUCUCUCUGCUCCGGAAUCCUCACCUGGGCGACACAUUUAGUAAUAAAGCAAUCCUGAAAAGAUGUUGAUGAAGAUUAAGUGACGAAAUUCAUGUAAAAAUCUUACAAUACCUGGCAAAUCACAGCUUAGGAAAAAAGCUAAUUAUUCUCAUGACCAGAUGCUCUCUCCCUUGCCCCAUCCUUGUUUGAAUAAACUCUGUAUGGUGUGGAGUCGCAUGCCCCUGGGCAGGUUCUUUUCUGUCCCUGAGCAUUAUAUGCAACAUGAUAGAAAGGGCCAGAUGCCCAGCAGGCCAAAGACCGUGCAUGGUGCAUUACAAGCUUUUAAUACACUCUGUGUGCAGUGCAUUCAGAUUCAGCCUGGAAAAGUGUAUAUAAUGUCUGCUCUAUUUUUACUGGCUCCAUCCUGGCUGUUAUCUCCAAGCUUCCACAAAUAAAACCACUAAAGGAUGUGAAUGCCAAAUAAUAUGACUUUCCAACGAAAGUCACUUACUUCCCACUCCACUACCUCCUUUGGAAAAUGGGAAAAGAACAAGAGCCUUCCCCCCAGAUGACACGCUGGUCCCUUUAAGUUUGGGCUGCUUUGUUUUUCUAUGGAAGGCAGGCCAUGAUAGGUUGUAUGUUAUGGAUGGAUGACAUUUCUUUUUCUAAUUUAGAUGAAAGGACUAUGAAAUAUUGGUAUUUGGUUGGGUAUAGUGGGCUGUUCUAAACAAAGCCUUGUGAUCCUGAAUGUACACCUGCCAAGGACUCUGUACUUCAGAUUGAUGGAUGAUAUUGCCAGCAUCAUAUUUUCAUUAUUUUUCGCUCUCCUGUUCUAUGUGCCAAACCACCACUAAAUCACAGAUACUAAAUGUUGAACAAAGUAAAACAUGUAUGAAU